rnacentral:rRNA from 1 species
GAGCGGAGAUAUAUGGAGCUUGCUUUAUAUAACUUAGCAGCGAACGGGUGAGUAACACGUAGAUAAUCUAUCCUAUACUGGGGGAUAGCCCGAUGAAAGUUGGAUUAAUACCGCAUAUAGCUAUAUAGUUGCAUGAUUAUGUAGUGAAAGAUUUAUUGGUAUAGGAGGAGUCUGCGGCACAUUAGCUAGUAGGUGAGGUAAAGGCUUACCUAGGCGACGAUGUGUAGCCGGUCUGAGAGGAUGAACGGCCACAAUGGAACUGAGACACGGUCCAUACUCCUACGGGAGGCAGCAGUGGGGAAUAUUGCACAAUGGGGGAAACCCUGAUGCAGCAACGCCGCGUGAGUGAAGAAGGUUUUCGGAUUGUAAAGCUCUGUUAGCAGGGAAGAGGAAGGACGGUACCUGCAGAGGAAGCCACGGCUAACUACGUGCCAGCAGCCGCGGUAAUACGUAGGUGGCAAGCGUUGUUCGGAAUAACUGGGCGUAAAGGAUGCGUAGGCGGUUAAACAAGUUAUAUGUUAAAUAUAUAGGCUUAACCUGUAGAAAGCAUAUAAAACUGUUUAACUAGAGUGCAGGAGAGGUAAGUGGAAUUCCUAGUGUAGCGGUGAAAUGCGUAGAGAUUAGGAAGAACACCAGUGGCGAAGGCGACUUACUGGACUGUAACUGACGCUGAGGCAUGAGAGCAUGGGGAGCAAACAGGAUUAGAUACCCUGGUAGUCCAUGCUGUAAACGAUGGGUACUAGGUGUGGGUUGUGAAUAACAAUUCGUGCCGUCGCAAACGCAAUAAGUACCCCGCC